CUUGCUUCUCUUGAGAGCGGCGGACGGGUGAGUAAUGCCUAGGAAUCUGCCUGGUAGUGGGGGAUAACGUUCGGAAACGGACGCUAAUACCGCAUACGUCCUACGGGAGAAAGCAGGGGACCUUCGGGCCUUGCGCUAUCAGAUGAGCCUAGGUCGGAUUAGCUAGUUGGUGGGGUAAUGGCUCACCAAGGCGACGAUCCGUAACUGGUCUGAGAGGAUGAUCAGUCACACUGGAACUGAGACACGGUCCAGACUCCUACGGGAGGCAGCAGUGGGGAAUAUUGGACAAUGGGCGAAAGCCUGAUCCAGCCAUGCCGCGUGUGUGAAGAAGGUCUUCGGAUUGUAAAGCACUUUAAGUUGGGAGGAAGGGUUGUAGAUUAAUACUCUGCAAUUUUGACGUUACCGACAGAAUAAGCACCGGCUAACUCUGUGCCAGCAGCCGCGGUAAUACAGAGGGUGCAAGCGUUAAUCGGAAUUACUGGGCGUAAAGCGCGCGUAGGUGGUUUGUUAAGUUGGAUGUGAAAUCCCCGGGCUCAACCUGGGAACUGCAUUCAAAACUGACUGACUAGAGUAUGGUAGAGGGUGGUGGAAUUUCCUGUGUAGCGGUGAAAUGCGUAGAUAUAGGAAGGAACACCAGUGGCGAAGGCGACCACCUGGACUAAUACUGACACUGAGGUGCGAAAGCGUGGGGAGCAAACAGGAUUAGAUACCCUGGUAGUCCACGCCGUAAACGAUGUCAACUAGCCGUUGGAAGCCCUUGAGCUUUUAGUGGCGCAGCUAACGCAUUAGUUGACCGCCUGGGGGAGUA
rnacentral:rRNA from 1 species